CACGUAGGGCGCAAGCGUUGUCCGGAAUUAUUGGGCGUAAAGAGCUCGUAGGCGGUCUGUUGCGUCCGCUGUGAAAACUCGGGGCUUAACCCCGAGCCUGCAGUGGAUACGGGCAGACUAGAGGUAGGUAGGGGGGAAUGGAAUUCCCGGUGUAGCGGUGAAAUGCGCAGAUAUCGGGAGGGACACCGGUGGCGAAGGCGGUUCUCUGGGCCUUACCUGACGCUGAGGAGCGAAAGCGUGGGGAGCGAACAGG
rnacentral:rRNA from 1 species